UACGAAGGGGGCUAGCGUUGCUCGGAAUCACUGGGCGUAAAGGGCGCGUAGGCGGCCAUUCAAGUCAGAGGUGAAAGCCCAAGGCUCAACCUGGAACUGCCUUUAAGACUGCAUCGCUAGAAUUGUGGAGAGGUAAGUGGAAUUCCGAGUGUAGAGGUGAAAUUCGUAGAUAUUCGGAAGAACACCAGUGGCGAAGGCGACUUACUGGACACAUAUUGACGCUGAGGUGCGAAAGCGUGGGGAGCAAACAGG
rnacentral:rRNA from 1 species